rnacentral:rRNA from 1 species
AUAUUGUGAGCUUGAUGAGUAGGGCGGGACACGUGGUAUCCUGUCUGAAUAUGGGGGGACCAUCCUCCAAGGCUAAAUACUCCUGACUGACCGAUAGUGAACCAGUACCGUGAGGGAAAGGCGAAAAGAACCCCGGCGAGGGGAGUGAAAAAGAACCUGAAACCGUGUACGUACAAGCAGUGGGAGCACGCUUAGGCGUGUGACUGCGUACCUUUUGUAUAAUGGGUCAGCGACUUAUAUUCUGUAGCAAGGUUAACCGAAUAGGGGAGCCGAAGGGAAACCGAGUCUUAACUGGGCGUUAAGUUGCAGGGUAUAGACCCGAAACCCGGUGAUCUAGCCAUGGGCAGGUUGAAGGUUGGGUAACACUAACUGGAGGACCGAACCGACUAAUGUUGAAAAAUUAGCGGAUGACUUGUGGCUGGGGGUGAAAGGCCAAUCAAACCGGGAGAUAGCUGGUUCUCCCCGAAAGCUAUUUAGGUAGCGCCUCGUGAAUUCAUCUCCGGGGGUAGAGCACUGUUUCGGCAAGGGGGUCAUCCCGACUUACCAACC